rnacentral:rRNA from 1 species
UGGGGAAUCUUGCGCAAUGGGCGAAAGCCUGACGCAGCCAUGCCGCGUGAAUGAUGAAGGUCUUAGGAUUGUAAAAUUCUUUCACCGGGGACGAUAAUGACGGUACCCGGAGAAGAAGCCCCGGCUAACUUCGUGCCAGCAGCCGCGGUAAUACGAAGGGGGCUAGCGUUGCUCGGAAUUACUGGGCGUAAAGGGAGCGUAGGCGGACAUUUAAGUCAGGGGUGAAAUCCCGGGGCUCAACCUCGGAAUUGCCUUUGAUACUGGGUGUCUUGAGUGUGAGAGAGGUAUGUGGAACUCCGAGUGUAGAGGUGAAAUUCGUAGAUAUUCGGAAGAACACCAGUGGCGAAGGCGACAUACUGGCUCAUUACUGACGCUGAGGCUCGAAAAGCGNGGGGGAGCAAACAGGAUAGAUACCCUGGUAGUCCACGCCGUAAAACGAUGAUUGCUAGUUGUCGGGAUGCAUGCAUUUCGGUGACGCAGCUAACGCAUUAAGCAAUCCG